rnacentral:rRNA from 1 species
GACAGAGGCCCCGAGCGUUAGGCGGAAUCACUGGGCUUAAAGCGUGUGUAGGCGGACCCGUAAGUGUCUUGUGAAAUCCCACGGCUCACCCGUGGAACUGCUGGGCAUACUGGGGGUCUUGGGCCGUUCAGGGGCGACUGGAACAAGCGGUGGAGCGGUGAAAUGCGUAGAUAUCGCUUGGAACGCCGAAGGUGAAAACAGGUCGCUGGGGACGCGCCGACGCUGAGACACGAAAGCCAGGGGAGCAAACGGG